rnacentral:rRNA from 1 species
AACGAACGCUGGCGGCAUGCCUAACACAUGCAAGUCGAACGAGACCUUCGGGUCUAGUGGCGCACGGGUGCGUAACGCGUGGGAACCUGCCCUUAGGUUCGGAAUAACUCCCCGAAAGGGGUGCUAAUACCAGAUAAUGUCUUCGGACCAAAGAUUUAUCGCCUUUGGAUGGGCCCGCGUUGGAUUAGCUAGUUGGUAGGGUAAAAGCCUACCAAGGCGACGAUCUAUAGCUGGUCUGAGAGGAUGAUCAGCCACACUGGGACUGAGACACGGCCCAGACUCCUACGGGAGGCAGCAGUGGGGAAUAUUGGACAAUGGGCGAAAGCCUGAUCCAGCAAUGCCGCGUGAGUGAUGAAGGCCUUAGGGUUGUAAAGCUCUUUUACCCGGGAUGAUAAUGACAGUACCGGGAGAAUAAGCUCCGGCUAACUCCGUG